GAAGAUCAGUCUGAUGAGAGUGAGGAGGAGACACCAAAGAAGGCUGAACCUAGUAGAAAGAGACCUGCAGAUUCUGCUGCAAAAACACCUGUUCCUGAUAAAAAGACAAAAUUCUUAACUCCUCAAAAGACUGAUGGUAAGAAAGGUGCUGUUCAUGUGGCAACCCCUCACCCCUCAAAACAGGCUGGUAAGACUCCUGGAAACAAGCCAAACCAGACUCCAAAAUCUGGCGGAUCACUUGCCUGCAAGACAUGCAACAGGACUUUUGGUUCUGAAAAUGCUCUGGAAUCUCACUCGAAAGCUAAGCACAGCGCUGGAAAGUAAAUAGGAGUAGAAACAUCUGCCUUGGGAUCUGGUUUCGUUUUCUCAAACGUUGGAGGGAAUGAUAAUCAGAAGAGAGUGUUAGCUUUUAGAAUAUUGUUGGUUGACCCUAAUGUAAAGCAACAGUUAGGUCCAGUUUUGCUACUCAUUGGUAUUCUGUUCGAGAUGAACUCUCUGGGUACUAGUGAAGGUUUACUUUGAUUUCGACUGCUGUGUUGGUUGAUAUUCUACUCGAAU
rnacentral:misc_RNA from 1 species